GACCGCACGGGAUAAUGAUUAUCCCGUGCGGUCGGAUUAGGAGGCCCGUACGGGAAAAUCGAUUUUCCCGUGCGGGC
rnacentral:pre_miRNA from 11 species